rnacentral:rRNA from 1 species
UACGGAGGGUGCGAGCGUUGUCCGGAAUCAUUGGGCGUAAAGGGCGCGUAGGUGGCGGGACAAGCGUGCGGUGAAAGCUCGGGGCUCAACCCCGCGUCGGCCGUGCGAACUGUUUUGCUUGAGCACUGUAGAGGCAGGCGGAAUUCCGGGUGUAGCGGUGGAAUGCGUAGAGAUCCGGAAGAACACCGGUGGCGAAGGCGGCCUGCUGGGCAGUUUGGCUGACACUGAGGCGCGACAGCGUGGGGAGCAAACAGG